rnacentral:rRNA from 1 species
CCUACGGGCGGCAGCAGUGGGGAAUAUUGGACAAUGGGGGGAACCCUGAUCCAGCCAUGCCGCGUGUGUGAAGAAGGCCCUCGGGUUGUAAAGCACUUUCAGUGAGGAAGAACGCCUGGUGGUGAAUACCCAUCAGGAAAGACAUCACUCACAGAAGAAGCACCGGCUAACUCCGUGCCAGCAGCCGCGGUAAUACGGAGGGUGCGAGCGUUAAUCGGAAUUACUGGGCGUAAAGCGCGCGUAGGUGGCUUGAUAAGCCGGUUGUGAAAGCCCCGGGCUCAACCUGGGAACGGCAUCCGGAACUGUCAAGCUAGAGUGCAGGAGAGGAAGGUAGAAUUCCCGGUGUAGCGGUGAAAUGCGUAGAGAUCGGGAGGAAUACCAGUGGCGAAGGCGGCCUUCUGGACUGACACUGACACUGAGGUGCGAAAGCGUGGGUAGCAAACAGGAUUAGAUACCCUAGUAGUC